UACGUAGGCAGCAAGCGUUGUUCGGAGUUACUGGGCGUAAAGGGUGUGUAGGCGGUUGUUUAAGUUUGGUGUGAAAUCUCCCGGCUCAACUGGGAGGGUGCGCCGAAUACUGAAUGACUUCGAGUGCGGGAGAGGAAAGUGGAAUUCCCGGUGUAGAGGUGAAAUUCGUAGAUAUCGGGAGGAACACCAGUGGCGAAGGCGGCGAUCUGGGUCGAUACUGACGCUGAGGUGCGAAAGCGUGGGGAGCAAACAGG
rnacentral:rRNA from 1 species